rnacentral:rRNA from 1 species
GGCCCGACGGGUACCGGUGGUCCUGAUGUGGGCUGGGGGUGCGGCUUCUUUUUUGUGCGCUUGGGGUGUGAGGGGAGGCGUCGUUCGGCGGCGGCGGCGGCCAAGGGAAGACGCGACGAGGAGCGGCGCCGAGAGAGGCCGCUUAGACGUACCGGCCACCCAUCGGGGGUAGAGGGCGGGACGAGGAGGGAUAGCGGGGCGGGCGAGGGACAGAGGUCGUCGUCGGCUGCGGGGUGAGGCCGCCGGCUGACGGGUGAGGCCGCCUUCGGGGGGGCAAGGGAGAGUGGUGGAGGGUCCGGCACCGGUACUCGAGCAGGCCAUUCAAAGAGCGGGCCCCACAGUCGGUUAGGACCGAGGCGGUGACGCAGUUCCACUAAUGCCUACUCGUCUAUCUCCACGAGGCCUUCGUCUAGAGGUAGAUGCGGUAUUAGACGCUCGUCGAGUAGCUCUACGUGGCACGGGAGUGGUGCGUGGUCCUGAGGUAACGACCAUACUCAGAACUAUUAGACAUGACACUAGGAGAUUACCAAGUACCUCCGGUGUUCUAGUGGCGCUCCGUCGCUACCUGUGGUUGGGUCUACGUCGACGUCUAGGAGCUCUUGUAAAAGCUGGUUCCUUUACCUUGUGGUUCGUUCGUCUUCUAUUUCCUGUAGUGUCGCCUCGAGAGCGUCGUGCCGGUCUAGAGCCUCUGGUUACAGAUGUUGACCAAGGUCUUGUCUGCACGUGCGAGCUUCACCUUCGUCCGUCGAAGAAGAGAUGGUUUAUUGCGGCUUAGGCUUCGGCUCCCCCUACUCCUCAGGGACUGGCUGUUCUUCGGAUCUAGUCUGCCCAGUGUCGUCGUCUUGUACCGACACUCUCGAGUGUUGGGACUCUCCUAGAGUCUCUACGUGGCAGUGAAGCUACGUCGUCUCGCACCCGUCCAGGCACCAGGCUUCUACAUACCCAGGUCGUUGCUGUCGAGCUCUAUCAGCCCGCCAGACCCGGUCUACAGAAAGAUGCUCUUGCAGCACAACUUAGGUUCAUACGACUCGACUCCUCUCGCCUAAAAGUCGCCUGCUCGUGGAACCCACAGCCAUAGACCUGGUAAGUAUAGACGGAGCACUACACGGCGACCCUUUAACAGAGCCAUCUUGAGCGUCAUUAUGUUUGGCUUAUGCUAUCCGACCAGCAACCUCACUUACACGGUACGUACCCACCGUCUCCUGGACUCGGGUUUGUCACACUCGUUAAUGACUAUGUUGAUCUACUAUGGUGCGUGCAACGACGCCCUUGAACAUUAUUAGGUGUACACUUUCUAAUACCUCACUUUUAUUC